UUGUUUGAAAGUGCAAGGUGUCU
rnacentral:piRNA from 1 species